GUAUCCUCAUUUUAUAUUGUCCAAAAGCUUGAUCAAGUAAAUUCCAUGUCUUCAAGCUCGUAUGCCAUUUCUAAUUGCAGGCUAAACUUCAAAUCGGAGAUGUUGUGAAAUGCUGCAUCAAGAAGAUAGCAUAUUUUGGAAUUUUUGUGGAGCUAAAUAAUUUUGUUUUAGUUGAUGAGAAAUUAAAGAUUAUUGCUACUCAUGUUCUUAGAAGGAUGGUUCUUAGCAAUAUUUGGGUACUUUAAUGGUUGCAUAAGAAGGAGAUUUGAAUAGUUUUCGAGGAAGUUACUUGAUUUGCUGGUUUAUCAUUUAAACACCAUGCUUACUGCCAUUUUCAAUUACAACUCCCUAAAAUGUAGUAAUAACUAAUUAAGAAUCCGAAGC
rnacentral:misc_RNA from 1 species